UACAGAGGGUGCAAGCGUUAAUCGGAAUUACUGGGCGUAAGCGUGCGCAGGCGGUUUGUAAGUCUGUCGUGAAAUCCCCGGGCUCAACCUGGGGAAUUGCGAUGGAGACUGCAAGGCUAGAAUCUGGCAGAGGGGGGGUAGAAUUCCACGUGUAGCAGUGAAAUGCGUAGAGAUGUGGAGGAAUACCGAUGGCGAAGGCAGCCCCCUGGGCCAAUACU
rnacentral:rRNA from 1 species